GAUGAACGCUGGCGGCGUGCCUAAUACAUGCAAGUCGAACGCUUCACUUCGGUGAAGAGUGGCGAACGGGUGAGUAAUACAUAAGUAACCUGGCAUCUACAGGGGGAUAACUGAUGGAAACGUCAGCUAAGACCGCAUAGGUGUAGAGAUCGCAUGAACUCUAUAUGAAAAGUGCUACGGGACUGGUAGAUGAUGGACUUAUGGCGCAUUAGCUUGUUGGUAGGGUAACGGCCUACCAAGGCGACGAUGCGUAGCCGACCUGAGAGGGUGACCGGCCACACUGGGACUGAGACACGGCCCAGACUCCUACGGGAGGCAGCAGUAGGGAAUUUUCGGCGAUGGGGGAAACCCUGACCGAGCAACGCCGCGUGAAGGAAGAAGUAAUUCGUUAUGUAAACUUCUGUCAUAGAGGAAGAACGGUGGAUAUAGGGAAUGAUAUCCAAGUGACGGUACUCUAUAAGAAAGCCACGGCUA
rnacentral:rRNA from 1 species